ensembl:lncRNA
CCCUGCCCAGCCCGGCCAGCGCUGCCCGGCCCGGCGGCACCGCCGCGCUGCUGGAGCGGAGCCGGGAGUGGUGCGGAGCCGCUGGUGCCUCUCUGCGCGCUGCCGGGCCGUCGUGCGUGCCCUGUCGGGGAGGAGAAGCUUCCCUUCUUCGUUCUAUCUCCUGAAAACCUGCAGCUGACUGACUUCUGCCAUGGCUUUAACUGGUUAAGGUUUUUCCUUUUGUUCUUUGUGGGCAGCUAAACUCGGGUUCCUAUCUGAAGGAAGACUCUAACCUUGGUCCUUAAUCAUGCAGGCAAAUAACUGCUUGGAGAAAGGCACGUCGUUUUGUUCCGUUGUUUUGGGCCCUCAAAGCGCUGAUCUGUGCGCCUUUGAGACUUUUGAAAGUGAUUUCAGAUAGCUGCUGUUGCUCAGCAGAGAACAAAAGCCAUUAUUCCAGGUUCUCCAUCACUUCUCCUUCGUCAGCUUCUGUCCUUCUUGUACUUGAAUACGAACUCAUUGCAGGUCGCCAGAGAUACAGGGGGACUAAAUGCAGAGACCUGGGAGAUCUUUGUGCCCUGGCUCCAGCACGGCGUCCCUCUGUGCCUCUCGUCUGUACUACAGGAGACUGGAAACAAACCUUUCCCUCGCUCGUGAUGCUUAGGCUAUGAGAGGCUUCGUGGCCUUCUUGCUGAGCACUUCUCGCUGCCAAAUCUGAAUCACAUGUGCUCAGCUGGACAUACACAUGCUCGGCUCCCCACUGUAACUUCGGUAACAUGCACUUGCCUUAAUUUAAUUAAUCGGGCAAAUAAAUUAAAUGCUAGAGGACUUUCUCCAAAUAUCUCAACUGGGACCGCGCAGUGGGGGGGAGAUGGGAGGUUAUGGUUCCUCUGGCCCUCACAGCUCCUCCUGGUAGCACUGCAGACUGGGAGGAAGAUGCUCUGAGCAGUGUAACUAAUUUCUGAGCUGUUAAACCUCACCACAGCCUGGAAUAUUACCAUGUACCUUUCCCUUUUACACUGGAGACACAAACAACAGCAACCAAAACCAACAAAAGUGUCAGAGGGGUGAUGUGAUGCUCUCUCAAGCAAAUUGUUGACAAGGUAAAACACCUUCCUCCUUCGUAGCAUCAAAUCAAGACAGAAAGCUGCUGCAGGCUGUGGCAGCACCGUACUGCCACAAGGAGCUCUGCCAACAGCAAGAGGAAUCGUGCUGCGAGUGCUCCUCAGAGCACAGUGCUCAGAGCCCAGCGCUCCCCACUGCACCCCAAAGCUCUGCGCUGACUCUUACAGUUCCUAAUGACGCUCAGACAGCAGUAUCAAUCCAUACACGGAUCUGAAAGAGAGACUAAAGCCCCCACAAACAUUGAUGUUGAAUGCUGAGCAAAAAAUUUACCCUUAUAAAGAUAACUCUUUUGUUUUUAAACACACACAUGGCAGGGUCUGAACCACCCAGACAACAGAAAGCGGGGCGGUAUGUCCGGGAUCAGCUUUGCUCUACAAAGAGGUGCAGCUCUUACACGGUUUGCGAUUAAAUAAAACCUAAAAUGUUGUUAUGAUGGGAUAUGUCGUUUCGGUACAAGAAUGAAACAUUCCAUAUUUCAUCAGUGCAACUUUUUUAAAAACAGUAUAGCCUUGUAAACUGUAAAUGUAUUUAAAUGCAUAUAUUCUGCAAGAAAUCUACCAAAGUUGGCUGUCACGUCUGGUGCCUUUAUUUGUUUCAGUUAUUUUAUUUGUAUUUUAAAUGCUACUGUCCAGCUGUUUCUGUGACCCAGCCCCUACCUACGGCCAUGUUACACCACACUGAGCCCUCUGCUGUCGAGGAAGAAGAGUCAGUGGAUAUUAGCACAAAUCCUGCAGACUUCACUUUAAAUUGGUGUGAUCUGCUAAAAUAAUGGGAUUUGUCUCAAAUGGAAGGAUUACAAAGAAGCCACACCCCAGCAGAUAGGCCUGCAUGGGGCUUUACUUCUGAGCCUUCAGAAGUGCUGCCGGAUUUGGGCACUUAAGGGACAGCGGUCUUUCUGCCUGUUCCCUGCAAGUAUUUACCAUCCAAUCAGAACUGGUAUGUUGGGGGGUGGGAGGGACAAAAGCACGUCCCUUCAAAUGGAAUCUUUUUUAGCAAGCCAAAAUUCUUGAUAGCUUCAUGUCACAGCAGGGCUGGGUCCACUGAUAACCACAUCUGAAACAACUCCACAAUCCGACCUCAUGGAAGAAGCCAGUGCUGUGUAUGUACUAGUAGACAAACCCUCAUCCUAUCCAAAACGUAGCUCAUUGCUGAUGUGUCAAAAUUCACUGAGGUCACAGGGUAGCGUCCAACCACGUCUAUUCAAAAAGAAUAAUUGCAUUUUAUCUCAUCCUUCAGUAUACUUAUGUAUUGCAUUACUUCACAAGAAAAAAAAAUGAACAACCACCCAUGUGAACGUUGCUACCGACAUUGCUGGCUUCAGGGUACAAAUUGGUUUCUUCUGCACUGUUUUGUUUCUGAGAGCAAAGAUCUAGUCCUGAAGCUUAGGAAUUAAAAGCACUCAGGAGCAGGCCUGAACCUCAUCCCAGUGGAAAUAAAGAUCUAUAGCACUUGUUUUUAUUUUUAUGUGAAAUUAUAAAUACAAAAUAAAAACAUCUAAACCAAUCCCCAGAAGGAGUCGCUCUUUAUGACAGGGCAGGGGAUGGUUUGGGCUCAGUAACGGGGAGCGGUGUCGGUGUCACAGAGCAGCCUUCCCCUGGGCUGCUGGGGGGAGAGCUGGCUCAGCCCUGGGCAAGUGGGAACUUCCCUUGUGCCACAGUCAGCACCUCAGCCCUCCACUGGAGCUCAGACAAAAGAGCAAGUGGCAGCGGUUGGUCUUGUGAUGUGAGCACAUUAGGAAGUGGACUGAGUCCCAACUACUUGGAGAACAGCUCUAAACAUGAAGCCCUUUAAGCUUUCAAUUCCUACAAGUUUAAAAUAGAAGGGGAAAAAAAAGCCCACUGCUGCUUGGACUGGACCCAGCCUGACCCGAUACCCUAAAUCCUUUCCACCAUCCAUUUUUGUCAAGAAGUGCAUUCAAGCUGGGGAAAAAGCAUUUUCACAGUUGCAUCAGAACAGAACCUGUGAAAAAAAUGUCUGUUAAAUGAAACUGCAGAGGCUAAUUACUAGUGGGGGAAUUUACAUGACUGCCAGGGAGGUCUUUCAAUAUUUUAUAGAUUUUUUUGGCAAGAUUUUUAUGCUUUCUUGAACUAACUGUUGCUUUAAGAAUGAAGAAAAAGUAUCUUCAAAGCCUUCGUUUUGCAGCAUUCUUGCCAGCUUGGUUGAGAUUAACAAAAGCUCCUUGCCACCCCCCUACUGCUAUGCACACGCUGGGCUGGAAGAAGGGUGUCUGCUGGCCUGGCCUCUGUCCUGCUAAACGAACAUUUCACAGUUAUGAAUUUGAAAGUAACCUCAGUUCAUAGCCUGCAAAUCUGGUUAGAUCCUGUCUGUGUAAAGAGGGGAAAUGCACCAGGCAGAGGGAAAAGGAAGCUCCAUCAGUCACGUUUGCUGCAGGAUGUUUAAGGAAGAGUUUCCUUUUCCUGCACAGGGAUGUUUGUUGGGCAUCUGCUCUUUGGAACAGGAAUGAAACAUUUUACUCGAGUGAGAAACCACCGUAACUUCAAAUUUGCAUUUGUAAACCUAUUCCUCCGUCAAAUACUGCAUGAGGUAUUUACUCUUAUUCCUUGGCCG